GAUCAUGGCUCAGGAUGAACGCUAGCUACAGGCUUAACACAUGCAAGUCGAGGGGCAGCAUGGUCUUAGCUUGCUAAGACUGAUGGCGACCGGCGCACGGGUGAGUAACGCGUAUCCAACCUGGCCCAUAGUAGGGAACAGCCCGGCGAAAGUCGGAUUAAUGCCCUAUGUUAUCCGUAGACGGCAUCAGAUGCGGAGCAAAGAUUUAUCGCUAUGGGAUGGGGGAUGCGUCUGAUUAGGUAGUAGGCGGGGCAACGGCCCACCUAGCCGACGAUCAGUAGGGGUUCUGAGAGGAAGGUCCCCCACAUUGGAACUGAGACACGGUCCAAACUCCUACGGGAGGCAGCAGUGAGGAAUAUUGGUCAAUGGGCGUGAGCCUGAACCAGCCAAGUAGCGUGAGGGAAGACGGCCCUACGGGUUGUAAACCUCUUUUGUACGGGAAUAAAGUGCGGGACGCGUCCCGUUUUGUAUGUACCGUAAGAAUAAGGACCGGCUAAUUCCGUGCCAGCAGCCGC
rnacentral:rRNA from 1 species